rnacentral:lncRNA from 1 species
AAAUUAAGUUUUAUUAGGACAGCCUAUGACUGUUUUCAUGUUGUAACAGCAGAGUUGAGUAGUUGCAACAGAGACUGUAUGAUGUGCAAAGCCUAAAAUAUUUAUGAUCUGGCUCUUUGCAGAAAGCAUCUAUGGACCCCUGCUUUAACUAAUACAACCAGCAUUUGACAACACCAGAACCAGUCUAGGUUCUUCUCCUGGUUUCCAAUACUGGUUUCUUUGAGCAGAUCAGCGCCUCAUGCUGACUUCUUGCUCUGACUUGGUUAUGGUGUACUCUGCCCCUUUGGCCCCAUUCCUUGGGCCCAAAUAGUCUUUGUAAAUUAGGCCCAGAGACUUAAAUAAAGUGGCAAUCAUUCUUCAGCCUCCCCAGUUGUGAGCUCUGAUCUUCCAAAUCAUCUAGUCUAAGUCCUCAACUGUUCAGAUAUGGAAACUGACACACACAGAGAGAGGAGUAGAUUUUGCCAGGCUCACUGAACCAGCCAGUGGUUGAGCAGUCCCACAAAGAAAGUGUGGGGGCAAAUAAACUGCUUCCUGGAUAAAAACAGCUAAUGUUUAUUGUAUGCUUGCUUCGGGCUAGGUACCCCUUCAGUCUUUCCAACAAACCUCAAAGGUGUAUACUGCUGUUAUCAUCAUCAUCCCUCUCAUUUUACAGAUGGAGAAACCGGGGCACGGAGAGAAUUUAAGUUGCCCAAGGUCUGCUGUGUUGAUGAAACUAGAUUGAGCACAGCAGUAUUGAUAUAGUUUGUAUACUUGUCCCUGCUCAAAUCUCAUGUUGAAUUGUAAAUCCCCAAUGCUGGAGAUGGGAACUGGUGGGAGGUGUUGGGGUCAUGGUGCAGAUUCCUCAUGGCUUGAUGCUGUCUUUGUGAUAAUGAGUGAGUUCUCACAAGACCUGGUCACUUAAAAGUGUGUAGCAUCUCCCCCUCAUUCUCUCUCUUGCUCUGGCCAUGUGACAUGCUUACUCUCCCUUCACCUUCUGCCAUUAUUGUAAGCUUCCUGAGGCUUCCUCCACUGAGCAGAUGCCAGCACCAUGCUUCCUGCACAGCCUGUGGAACUGUGAGCCAAUUAAGCCUCUUUAUAAAUUACACAGUCUCAGUCAUUUCUUUAUAGCAAUGCAAGAACAGCCUAACCCAAGAAUCAGUUCAGAACCACAUUCUUGUUGACUCCACAGUGCCAUAUUGGUCUGUCAUUCUUGUCCACUUUGGGCUUUAAAACUCCCCCCUUAUCAGCAAUGAUAGAAAGAAGAGACUUAGGUGUAUAGGGUAGUCUUCUUUUAGCCCCUUCUCUUGUGCCCCAUUUCCCUAUGAUCCUCCAAGCCCAGAACAAUUCAUCAAUUUUGUUUGCAUAUCCAACUUGAGACACUGUCAUUUCAUUAACUCAAGUGAGGGGCUCUUCAUACAAGGUUGAGCUUCAAUAAUUCUCUUUAAAGUUCCAGAGAAAUGUAUGCUUAAUUAUAUUUGCAUAUGAAAAAUAGGGUCUAAUUAGUUUGAUUGAUUAUUAUUUUAACCCUAAUGGCAUUUUGAGUAUCUGUCCCA